CCUACGGGUGGCUGCAGUGGGGAAUAUUGGACAAUGGGGGGAACCCUGAUCCAGCCAUGCCGCGUGUGUGAAGAAGGCCCUCGGGUUGUAAAGCACUUUCAGUGAGGAAGAACGCCUGGUGGUUAAUACCCAUCAGGAAAGACAUCACUCACAGAAGAAGCACCGGCUAACUCCGUGCCAGCAGCCGCGGUAAUACGGAGGGUGCGAGCGUUAAUCGGAAUUACUGGGCGUAAAGCGCGCGUAGGUGGCUUGAUAAGCCGGUUGUGAAAGCCCCGGGCUCAACCUGGGAACGGCAUCCGGAACUGUCAAGCUAGAGUGCAGGAGAGGAAGGUAGAAUUCCCGGUGUAGCGGUGAAUUGCGUAGAGAUCGGGAGGAAUACCAGUGGCGAAGGCGGCCUUCUGGACUGACACUGACACUGAGGUGCGAAAGCGUGGGUAGCAAACAGGAUUAGAUACCCGUGUAGUC
rnacentral:rRNA from 1 species